GACCUGUAUAUUGUAAGCAGACAUUCCAUGGUAAGAAAUACCACAGUUGUGGGAAUAUCCUGGAGAGUCAGGAGCAGAAGAUGAUACGGUCUGGAUUCCCCAUGAAAUUCCAUGAAUGAAGCAAAAGACUGACCAAAAGGGGAAUGAAAAAUAUCCAG